rnacentral:lncRNA from 1 species
AGCAUAAUGUUGUUUGACUGAUACAUGAAGUCUCCAUACGAUUUUGAGGUGGUGAAAGUUCUAUUCCUGAUGACCCCAAAUUCCUGCCCUAUCACCUGUUCUUCCUCUACGCCACACUUGUGCCUUGAAGAAUGAAAUGUAGCGAUUGCCUUGGCCCUUAUAUGGGGGCUGGAAAAUGAAAACCACUGAAGGCUGAAACAGGUCAGGGAAGGAAGGGAACCAAAAGCAGGAUGCGCUGCAGGCUGACCAGCUGUUACAGGGAAGAUUAGAAGGUCAGAUCAAGUGCUCAGUUGGUUCUUCCUCCCUGUGUCCCCCAAACCAUCCAGGAGCAGGGGCUUGAAAGAUUUACAACACUUUACACUACUUCAACAGCUAUUUUAGUCCUUAGAUUUUAUUGCCCCAACCAUGGUAUCCUUGGGAACAGACUGAAUCUGGAUCCAGAAGUGGCUGGUGAGGGAGAAGGUAGACAAGGUAGACCAAAAGCAACUAAGUUAGGAAAGCAUUUCAAGGAUAGAGAGAUCAACUGGACCAAAUGACACUGAGAGAUUAAGAAAAGAUGUAA